GCCAUUCGGGUUAACUAAUGCUCCAGCUACUUUAAUGGGCCUGAUAAACACUAUCUUUAGGCCAUAUUUGGAUCAAUUUAUAGUGGUGUUCAUUGAUGAUAUUUUGGUGUACUCAAAGAAUGCAGAGGAAUAUGACAAGCACUUGAGGAUAGUGUUGUAGAUUUUGAGGAAGAAACAGUUGUAUGCCAAACUGUCGAAAUGUGAGUUUUGGCUGAAAAAGAUUACAUUUUUGGGGCAUAUUGUAUCUUCAGAGGUUAUCCAAGUGGAUCCUAGUAAAGUAGAAGCCAUUCUUAAUUGGAAGCCACCCAAAAAUGUCACAGAAGUUCGGAGUUAGCAUGACAGUCCCUUUCGGAACUCCCCAGUAGUAACGGCUACUUGGGAUUGAUAAUGGAUAUUGAUUAUGUCUCCCAUUAAUAACGGUU
rnacentral:misc_RNA from 1 species